GGGNUUUGGNCAUGGGGGAACCCUGCUCCAGCAAUGCCGCGUGUGUGAAGAAGGCCUUCGGGUUGUAAAGCACUUUUGUCCGGAAAGAAAACUUCCUGGUUAAUACCUGGGGAGGAUGACGGUACCGGAAGAAUAAGCACCGGCUAACUACGUGCCAGCAGCCGCGGUAAUACGUAGGGUGCGAGCGUUAAUCGGAAUUACUGGGCGUAAAGCGUGCGCAGGCGGUUCGUUAAGACAGAUGUGAAAUCCCCGGGCUUAACCUGGGAACUGCAUUUGUGACUGGCGAGCUAGAGUAUGGCAGAGGGGGGUAGAAUUCCACGUGUAGCAGUGAAAUGCGUAGAGAUGUGGAGGAAUACCGAUGGCGAAGGCAGCCCCCUGGGCCAAUACUGACGCUCAUGCACGAAAGCGUGGGGAGCAAACAGGAUUAGAUACCCUGGUAGUCCACGCCCUAAACGAUGUCAACUAGUUGUUGGGGAUUCAUUUCCUUAGUAACGUAGCUAACGCGUGAAGUUGACCGCCUGGGGAGUACGGUCGCAAGAUUAAAACUCAAAGGAAUUGACGGA
rnacentral:rRNA from 1 species